UGUGGUACAGCAAAGGCCAAACAGCUACCAGGAGGCAGCCUGAACGUGUCAGGGCCUGGGCACGACACUUGCCUUUCUUGGAGGAGUGAUUUGAAGCCAUAGUGGAAGACUGAGCCUCUAUAAAAAAUGAACGAGGACACUCUUAAUGGACAGAUACAAAACAAGCCCCAGGAGAAAGGUGUAUCAACCAUUUUAAAUCUGCCCUCAAAAGCACAGAACAAAUCAGACAGCAUUUUGCUCACAGAGGAGAGGGUGUAUGAGAACCAAAUUCCAGCUUCAGCACAUGGCCUUGGGUACAGCUACAAGAUGGAGGAAGCUAUUUGACCUGCAUCAGACUUUACGUGAACAAAAG
rnacentral:lncRNA from 1 species